rnacentral:tRNA from 1 species
GGUAGAAUGGCUGAGUGAGGCGGUGAGCUGUAGACUCACUUACGGAGGUAAAAAGUCCUUCUACUA